rnacentral:lncRNA from 1 species
ACUUUCACAGUGACUUGAAUUGUAAAUUAUGCUCAAAGCUAUGAUUUUUAAAUAUGCAUCUUAAAAUUUUACUUGAAAAACAGUGUCUCUUAAAAAUUUCUUUCCCCUCUCUGCUGUGGAUUGAACACAGGGCCUUGCAUGUGCUAAAAUAUGCACUCUACCACUGACUUAUACCACCCAGGUAAAAAAUGUCUUUUAUGAAUGAAUUUCAGCUUUGGAUGAUGAUUGUGUUAGGUGAUUUUGAUUAACUUCCAUGAGAAGUUGAACUUUUGAAACAAAUAACUUGCCGGUUAGGUCUAAUAAUUUAUGUGCUGCAAAGUAUGUGCUCGAAGUUUAUUUAAGAAAUUACAUAUUUAUCUCAUUAUAAGGCCCUUAAAAUACUGUAAUUAAAAAUUAAUACUAUUUCUUGUUGCUAGUAGUGAGAUUUGAGUUUUAUAGUUCCAACUGUGCAGUUGCCAGAUCCUGAUGUUAAUUGGAAGGAUGCUGUAGAAUUUGUCAGUACAUUUAAACUCUGACUAACCCAAUAAGCUGAUCAGAUAAUUUGGAAGCUUGUUUAGUGAGUUCAGGUGACUGGCUGCCUUGUCUUGCCUUACUUAAGUCUGUUUACUUAAAACAUUUUCAUUGUUAGUUGGUGUCGUAUUUCUGCUGUUGGAAUAUGUACAGAAAAUAUGCAUAAGGAGAUAUAUAGAACCAGUCCACAGAAUCGUUUUAAAAUCUGUUUACUUAAAUCUGUGUAAUUUAGAAUUUCAUAUAUGUCUGGUUUUACUUGUGAAAUACUUCUUGACAGACACCAGUAAUUUUGUCAAUGAAGUGUAGGUUUUUUUUUUUUUUUUAAUAAUUUAGGUACAAAGGACAAAGACUAGUGCCUUCUCAACAUUCGUCUUCCUUGGUAAAGGCAUGCACAGGUGGAAGCAGCAUUGUCUUUGGUCAUGUUGAACCUUUGCUUCUGAUACCCCUUUUCUGUUAACUCAUUUCUGUAAAGAAAUGGUCAUU